rnacentral:rRNA from 1 species
UACGUAGGGUGCGAGCGUUGUCCGGAUUUAUUGGGCGUAAAGGGCUCGUAGGCGGCCUGUCGCGUCGGGAGUGAAAGCCCACUGCUUAACGGUGGGUCUGCUUUCGGUACGGGCGGGCUAGAGUAUGGCAGGGGAGAACGGAAUUCCCGGUGUAGCGGUGAAAUGCGCAGAUAUCGGGAGGAACACCGGUGGCGAAGGCGGUUCUCUGGGCCUGUUCUGACGCUGAGGAGCGAAAGCAUGGGGAGCGAACAGG